rnacentral:rRNA from 1 species
ACGCUCGACACCUACGGGGGCAGCAGUGGGGAAUAUUGCACAAUGGGGGAAACCCUGAUGCAGCGACGCCGCGUGGAGGAAGAAGGUCUUCGGAUUGUAAACUCCUGUUGUUGGGGAAAAAGAGGAUGGUACCCAACAAGGAAGUGACGGCUAACUACGUGCCANGCGCGGUAGUAUNGCGGCGNGNGAGNG